UACGUAGGGCGCCAGCGUUAUCCGGAAUUAUUGGGCGUAAAGAGCUCGUAGGCGGUGUGUCGCGUCGGCCGUGAAAACCUGGGGCUCAACUCUGGGCGUGCGGUCGAUACGGGCAUCACUUGAGUUCGGCAGGGGAGACUGGAAUUCCUGGUGUAGCGGUGAAAUGCGCAGAUAUCAGGAGGAACACCGGUGGCGAAGGCGGGUCUCUGGGCCGAUACUGACGCUGAGGAGCGAAAGCAUGGGUAGCGAACAGG
rnacentral:rRNA from 1 species